GUUGCCGAUGAUGGGUAUUCCUACUGGCCCAGCGGAUGGCGGCCAAUUGAUGAUAAGCGAGCAUCCACAGCAGUCGCACCAGCAUCCAACACAUCAGCAGCAGCAGCAGCAGCAAUUUUUUGAGGCUCAGCAAUUGGCUGCUGCUGUGGCCGUAAGAGACCAGCAAGAGAUGUUUAGGACUUAUGAUCAGCAGCAGCAUCAAGAUCAAUCACAACAUCAGCAAGAGCUUGUGAGGUUUAACAGUGGAUUUGACGCAACUGGUUCGGUGACUGCUACUGGAUACAAUCAGCUAAGUGCCGCUUCUGCUAUGUCACCUUCUU
rnacentral:misc_RNA from 1 species